GACGAACGCUGGCGGCGUGCCUAAUACAUGCAAGUCGAACGCAGUGGGGACGGGUGAGUAACACGUGGGUAACCUCCCAUCAGAGGGGAUAACGCUUGGAAACAGGUGCUAAACCGAUACUGAUGGAUGGACCCGGGGUGCAUUAGCUAGUGGGUGAGGUAACGGCUCACCAAGGCCACGAUGCAUAGCGGGCCUGAGAGGGUGAUCGGCCACACUGGUACUGAGACACGGCCCAGACUCCUACGGGAGGCAGCAGUGGGGAAUCUUCGACAAUGGACGAAAGCCUGAUCGAGCAACGCCGCGUGGGUGAAGAAGGUUUUCGGAUCGUAAAGCUCUGUCGUUAGAGAAGCGGUAUCUAACCAGGAAGCCACGGCUAACUACGUGCCAGCAGCCGCGGUAAUAC
rnacentral:rRNA from 1 species